GGGCAUUUGGUGUAGUGGUAUGAUUCUUGCUUUGGGUACAAGAGGUCCCGAGUUCGAUUCUCGGAAUGCCCC
rnacentral:tRNA from 1 species